UACGUAGGGGGCAAGCGUUGUCCGGAUUUACUGGGCGUAAAGAGCGCCGUAGGCGGAAGCUUAAGUAGUGGCCUGAAAGCCCCCGGCUCAACCGGGGAAGGUGGCUGCAAACUGGGCUUCUUAGGGGGAUAGGGGAAAGUGGAAUUCCGGGUGUAGCGGUGAAAUGCGUAGAGAUCCGGAGGAACACCAGUGGCGAGGCGGUCUGCUGGGGCAGUUGCUGACACUGAGGCGCGACAGCGUGGGGGAGCAAACAGG
rnacentral:rRNA from 1 species